rnacentral:rRNA from 1 species
GACGAACGCUGGCGGCGUGCUUAACACAUGCAAGUCGAACGGAAGGGCCCUGCUUUUGUGGGGUGCUCGAGUGGCGAACGGGUGAGUAACACGUGAGUAACCUGCCCUUGACUUUGGGAUAACUUCAGGAAACUGGGGCUAAUACCGGAUAGGAGCUCCUGCUGCAUGGUGGGGGUUGGAAAGUUUCGGCGGUUGGGGAUGGACGCGCGGCUUAUCAGCUUGUUGGUGGGGUAGUGGCUUACCAAGGCUUUGACGGGUAGCCGGCCUGAGAGGGUGACCGGCCACAUUGGGACUGAGAUACGGCCCAGACUCCUACGGGAGGCAGCAGUGGGGAAUAUUGCACAAUGGGCGGAAGCCUGAUGCAGCAACGCCGCGGGCGGGAUGACGGCCUUCGGGUUGUAAACCGCUUUCGCCUGUGACGAAGCGUGAGUGACGGUAAUGGGUAAAGAAGCACCGGCUAACUACGUG